CUAUAGAACCGAAAGGAGAAAACUUAUUUGGUUUGGUUUGGUUUGAUUCUCCAGUUAUGGACAAUUCAAAAUUAAUCAAUUCUAGCAGCUCAAUUUUAGUGCAAAAUACAUUUUUUAAAGUCACUACUUUCAACACAAAAUACACUCAAAACAAUUAAUGAGCCAACUAAAAGGUUCAUAUAUAUAUAUAUAUACUCUCAAACUAAAUAUAUACACUGAACGGUUCAGUUCAGAAUAAGAACCGAGAGGGUCAAAUCGUGAACUAAACCGUUCGUUACUGUUCUUUAUUUUUUAAAACCAGAACCAAAGUGUUCCAUCUUCCUAGACACUAAACUAGGCAUACUUUUUAAUCAUUAAUUUUAUUUUUCCAUGCCAAUACUUUCUUAACAGUAUGGUAUAAAAAGUAUGUUUUGAUUUUCAUCUGACUCAGGAAGAUAUAUGCUCUUGACAUUUCUGGUGAAAUUCCCAAUGAACUAUUCAUGUUAAAGGAACUGCAAAACUUGAAUUUGGCUCAAAAUGUAUUAAGUGGACCCAUCCCACCUGAAAUUGGACAGUUAACAAAUAUGAAUUACCUGUGGACUGCUAAGUUGCCUGUAUCGUUGAGCCGACUCUAAGGUAGCGGUUACUGUGGUCACCCCCAAAUUUGGGCACUUGCCGGUCGCCGCUCCUACCUUUCUUGUCAAGGAAAAGAAGAAGAAGAAAGGCUCAGUAAUAGAUAUCUCUUUUUAUGAUUGACCAAGUAAACAAUUUUAAUAAUGCAAUUAGAUGAACUCACUCAUUCCAAUUGAGGACAUAUUUGUAAAUUAUAUAUUGGUCAUCCCUUUUUUCUUUUUUGACAAAACAAACAGAGCGUUAAUCGCAUUCUAUUUACCUGUUAAAUCCUGAACUAUCGGAUAAUAACCAGUAACAUCAUAAUUUCAAAAUGAUCCUUCAGUUUUUGUGCCCCGCGAUUCCAAUCCAACACUACCACAGCUAUUCUGGUAUAACAUUAACAUAAGACAAACUCAUAUUGGUUAUCCCUUGGAAUACCAUUAACUUAGUUUCAUAGGAACAAACUUAGAACUCAGCACUCAGAUGCAAGUUUGAGGGUGGGCUUUAGAAUUAACAUAUGGCAGAGUUGGACUUUCUUUUCUUGAUAAAUGAAUAAAUAUACAAAGAAUUACUGUGGGUUUAUUUUGAUAUAUAUUUUUUAUGCAGGUUGAUGUCAACCAGGUUAAAAAGCCCACAAUGGUGCUUUAGUGGCUGGGAAUGAAUGCUCUCAUUAUUUAUGCUUUGGGUGCUUGUGACCUCUUUCCAGCAGCUUUGCAUGGUGUCUAUUGGCGCUCACCAGAAAACAAUCUUUUAAUCAUAUUUUGGAGCAGUGGGG